rnacentral:tRNA from 2 species
GUGGUUGUAGCUCAGCUGGUUAGAGCGCUGGAUUGUGGUUCCAGAGGUCGCCGGUUCGAACCCGGUCUUCCACCCCA